rnacentral:rRNA from 1 species
AAUGAACGCUGGCGGCAGGCCUAACACAUGCAAGUCGAGCGAGAUGCGGACGGGUGAGUAAUGUCUGGGAAACUGCCUGAUGGAGGUGGAUAACUUCUGGAAACGGUAGCUAAUACCGCAUAACAUCACAUGUCCCCAGAUGGGAUUAGCUAGUGGGUGGGGUAACGGCUCACCUAGGCGACGAUCCCUAGCUGGUCUGAGAGGAUGACCAGCCACACUGGAACGGAGACACGGUCCAGACUCCUACGGGAGGCGGAGGUGGGGAAUAUUGCACAAUGGGCGCAAGCCUGAUGCAGCCAUGCCGCGUAGGUGAAGAAGGCCUUCGGGUUGUAAAGCACUUUCAGCGGGGAGGCGUUACCCGCAGAAGAAGCACCGGCUAACUCCGUGCCAGCAGCCGCGGUAAUUC